UCUUUCCUUAAUAACAGUUGGGUUUUGAUGCAAAUGAACUCAGCUCCUCUCUCUGUCACAGGAAUACAAGAAAGCUACAGAUUUGUGAAUGAGAGUUGAGCUGAAAAAUAAAUACGUAGUUAAAAA